GUCUACAGCCAUGCCACCCUGAACAUGACCCAUCUCAUCUGAUCUCGGACCCUAAGUAGGGUCAGGCCUGGUUAGUACUUGGAUGGGAGACCACCUAAGAAUACCAGGUGGUAUAGGUG
rnacentral:rRNA from 1 species